GAUAUUCAUCACUCUUAGUAUUCCCUCAUAAAUCACCAUAAACUCACAUGUAACAUCCCAAUUAACAAUCUAAUUUACCAUGACAAUAAACAUUGCAAUAAACAAUAGAGUAAUGCACCACAUUAUUGCAUAGUCACUACAAAUUCUGACCAAAAACAGAAUCCAAUGUAGUCUGCUGGACUUCCGCUCGACCGAGCUACUACCUCACUCGGUCGAGCAAGCUUCCAGAGAAGCUACUGACUUGUUCUUCACACCUUGCUCGACCGAGCCAACACCACUCGACCGGUCGAGCAACACUUAACUCGAUCGGGCGGUUGGUCGAGCCACUCACAGUCUGCUUCUUUAUUCGUUGCUUUGAUCAAGCAACUCUUAUCAAUCGUUCCAAACCUUAAAUCACCUAUAUUCGACACAUCUUUAUCGACCCUCUCUAAAGUACAAGACAAAGCAUGUUCGAUUAUAUGUUUAAAGUUAACGUCAUCAUUAAGAUUAUUGGUACUUGCUUUAACAGAUGGUGAUAAAAUGCUUUCUAUCUUGAGGUUUAGUUAUGACAAUCUAGAAGCCCCAUUGAAGAGUUGUUUUAGUUAUUCUGCAUUGUUUCGUAAAGAUUUUAGAAUUGAGAAGGAGAAGUUGAUUAGCCUUUGGAUAGCACAAGGAUAUAUUGUGCCAGACAAAGGGCAAAGUCUUGAUGAUGCAGCAGAGGGACAUUUUUUGACUUUGUUGCAGACGUUUCUUUGAAAUUGAUGUGGGUUCACCAUUCAACCUUAUUAAAAUCCAUGACUUUAUGCACCAUCUUGCUCAAGAUGUGAGGAAGAAGGAAAUGAUUGAUUCUCUCAAUUCAAACCUGCAGGCCGAUGAAGUUCGUCAUGUAAGAGAUAUUUGUCUAGAUAGCUUUAGAUGUAGCCCUAAGAUUCGAUCAUAUAUCAGAAAGUUUCAUAAAGAUGUAGAUAUAAGGAACUGGAAAUACCUAAGGGUUUUAGGCUUAUCUUAUUCUAAAUUCAAGAGUUUGCCCAAGUCAAUAGGAAAGCUACUCCUUUUAAGGUAUUUGGACCUGUCAUAUAAUGAUGAACUAGAUGCACUCUCUAAUGAGAUUACAAAACUACAUAAUUUGGAGACAUUACUUCUAAGUGAGUGUAGUAGUUUAAGGGAGUUUCCAAAGGGAUCAGGAAAACUAAUUAAACUUAGACACCUUGACUUGGGUCGAUGUUGUAAGUUCAUUGAGGAAGGGCCUUUAAUGGAUGUAUUAUUACUCAAUUGGAGGUACCUAGGAGUGUUGAACAUGUCUGGUUUGAAUGGGGAGAGUUUACCUAUCUCAAUAGGUAAGUUAAUGCAUUUGAGGCAUCUUGACUUUCUGAAAACAUAUAUCUGAAGGUAGUCCCUGAUGAGAUUUCCGAGUUAUGUAAUCUGCAAUCGUUAAUAUUACGUAAAUGCUAUCGUUUAAGGUGUUUGCCGAAAAAUUUCAGUAAAUUGUCUAAACUUAGGCAAUUUGAUUUGGAUGAUUGCAUAAGCUUGACUUGUAUGCCUCUAGGUAUGGAGAAGUUGACAAGCCUUACUUUUCUACCUUACUUUGUGGUGGGUAGGAGAAAUUCAGCUCAGAUAGAAUGUGAUGAUGAGUUGAAAGUUCUAAAACCUCUCACUAAAAUAAAAGGUAGCAUCAAAAUAGUGAUAGGUGAAUAUUAUAGAAAAGUGGAAAGCUUGAAUGACAUAGAAGGAGGAUAUUUGUGGAGGAUAGAACAUCUUGAGGAGGUUGACUUAAAAUUUGAUUUUGAUUGUGAAAACCCAGAAGCCACUUUGGAAACCCUAAAGCCACAUUCAAAUCUCAAGAAGCUAAAGUUAUCCAACUACAAGGGUACAACCAUUCCAAAGUGGGGAAGAGCAAUAGAUAAUUGGGCUAUCUCCCUUUCUGGUCUUGUCUCCAUCAGCCUUAAGGAUUGUACACAUCUGCAAGAGAUGCCCAUGUUAAGUAAGUUGCCUCAUCUGAAAAGACUGAAUCUUGAAAAGUUGAAUAACUUGGAUUUCAUGGAAAUUUCGAGCAAUGGCACCGAAAGAGAAGAAUUACCAAUAUUUUUCCCGUCUCUUGAUAUCUUGAGAUUAGAAGCCUCUCGGAGUUGAAGGGGUGGUGGAAGGGAGAGCCAUCUUGGGUAGAUGAUGAUUGUCGCUCAAAGAAGAGAUUGCGAUUUCCUUGUCUCUCUGAGUUGAGGAUUAGCUCUUGCAUGAAGCUAACAUCGUUUCCUCAAUGUCCACGCCUUGAAGCGUUGGAAUUGAGUAAAAACAAUGAAACGUUGGAGAUAAGAGUAAAACCCAGGGCCACCGAUGAAGAAGAAGAAGUCCUUUUACGUGAGUUGACAAUAGAUGACUUAGGUAUUCUCAAAUCACUACCAACAAGUCGUCUUACUCAACUCAUCAUAAAAACCGGGGUGCGUAGACUAUAUUAUACGUAGGGGGUUGACAAUUUAUCACAAGAAUUUUCCAGAUGUGCCUCUGCCCUGAAAAGCCUAUGUAUUGAAGAUAUGAAUAUGCUAAGGAUACUUUCCGGAAGAAAAGGAUUUCACAAUUUCACUGCCUUAGAGUCUCUAGACAUAGCGGUGCCAGCAACGCCAUUCAUGUUCGUUGAAUACGAGGAUGAUGACAUAUUUUGGAAAUCUUUAUCUCAAAGUCUCCGUAUCCUGAAUUUCGAAAGCGGGCCGAGAAUGAAAAAUGGUCUACCCAAGGGGAUUCGGUGCUUGAUGUCCCUCCAAACCCUCCAAAUUGAGUCUGGGGACAGUGUGAAAACAAUACCUGAAUGGAUAGAUUGCUUAUCAUCUCUCCAAUACCUGUCUAUACAUAACUGUCCUGAGCUUAAAUCACUUCCAGAAGAAAUGAAGAAACUCGACUCUCUGAAGAGUCUUGAGAUAAACUUUUUUCCGGAGCUAGAAGAACGAUGUCGAAAACCUGAUGGAGUGGAUUGGCCCAAGAUCAACACAUCCCCAACAUUCAGAUUAAUGAUACAAAAAUUUACUGAUGCACUGAAUUCAUCUCUUGGGCCUUGUUUAUUAGAUGAAUUAAUUUAUAAAGCAUUUGAUCGCAAAUAUUCUUUACAUUUAUCCAAUUGAUUGGUUUUCGCUCCCGACUCUCGAGCAAAGUGAUUUUCAACAGGCAGUAUGUUACUUGUCCUCGAGCUGCACUGAUGCUUGUUCGAGCUCUUAGCCCAGCACCCCGGAAGCAUCCUUCUGAGUUUUGUGUAAACUCUUCACUUCAUAAUUCUUUCCGAUGAGC